AGUUUGAUCCUGGCUCAGAUUGAACGCUGGCGGUAUGCCUUACACAUGCAAGUCGAACGGUAGAGGAGCAAUCCUCGAGAGUGGCGAACGGGUGAGUAAUACAUCGGAACGUGCCCAGUCGUGGGGGAUAACGUAGCGAAAGCUACGCUAAUACCGCAUACGACCCGAGGGUGAAAGCGGGGGGCUCGCAAGAGCCUCGCGCGAUUGGAGCGGCCGAUGGCAGAUUAGGUAGUUGGUGGGGGUAAAGGCCCACCAAGCCUGCGAUCUGUAGCUGGUCUGAGAGGACGACCAGCCACACUGGGACUGAGACACGGCCCAGACUCCUACGGGAGGCAGCAGUGGGGAAUUUUGGACAAUGGGCGAAAGCCUGAUCCAGCCAUACCGCGUGCGGGAAGAAGGCCUUCGGGUUGUAAACCGCUUUUGUCAGGGAAGAAAUACUUCGGGCUAAUACCCUGGGGUGAUGACGGUACCUGAAGAAUAAGCACCGGCUAACUACGUGCCAGCAGCCGCGGUAAUACGUAGGGUGCAAGCGUUAAUCGGAAUUACUGGGCGUAAAGCGUGCGCAGGCGGUUCUAUAAGACAGAUGUGAAAUCCCCGGGCUCAACCUGGGAACUGCAUUUGUGACUGUAGAGCUAGAGUAU
rnacentral:rRNA from 1 species